GAGUUUGAUCCUGGCUCAGGAUUAACGCUGGCGGCAUGCCUAAUACACGCAAGUCGAACGGAGUAGCAAUACUUAGUGGCGAACGGGUGAGUAACACGUAUCUAAUCUACCAUUUAGUGGGGAAUAACUGUUGGAAACGACAGCUAAUACCGCAUAAUAUUGCUGGAUAAUUUCCAGUAAUGAAAGGAGCUUUCAAGCUCCGCUGAUUGAUGAGGAUGCGGCGCAUUAGCUAGUUGGUAGGGUAAUGGCCUACCAAGGCAAUGAUGCGUAGCCGAUCUGAGAGGAUGAACGGCCACAUUGGGACUGAGACACGGCCCAAACUUCUACGGAAGGCAGCAGUAGGGAAUUUUUCACAAUGGGCGAAAGCCUGAUGGAGCAAUGCCGCGUGACUGAUGAAGGUCUUCGGAUUGUAAAGGUCUGUUGUAAGGGAAGAAAUGGUAAAACAGGAAAUGGUUUUAUCUAUGACGGUACCUUACCAGAAAGCCACGGCUAACUAUGUGCCAGCAGCCGCGGUAAUACAUAGGUGGCAAGCGUUAUCCGGAUUUAUUGGGCGUAAAGGGUGCGUAGACGGUUUUGCAAGUCUGAGGUUAAAUUUAGGAGCUCAACUCCUAAUCGCCUUGGAAACUACAAGACUAGAGUAUAGGAGAGGUUAGUGGAAUUCCAUGUGUAGCGGUGGAAUGUGUAGAUAUAUGGAGGGAACACCAGUGGCGAA
rnacentral:rRNA from 1 species